rnacentral:rRNA from 1 species
GAUGAACGCUAGCGGCAGGCCUAAUACAUGCAAGUCGAGGGAGAAUGUUGGAUUCGUCUGACAUGAAACCGGCGCACGGGUGCGUAACACGUAUGCAACCUACCUUUAACUGGGGUAUAGCUCAGAGAAAUCUGAAUUAAUCCCCCAUGAGACUACGACAUGGCAUCAUGAUGUAGUUAAAGCUCCGGCGGUUAAGGAUGGGCAUGCGGUACAUUAGCUAGUUGGUGAGGUAAUGGCUCACCAAGGCUACGAUGUAUAGGGGGUCUGAGAGGAUGAUCCCCCACACUGGUACUGAGACACGGACCAGACUCCUACGGGAGGCAGCAGUAGGGAAUAUUGGUCAAUGGACGCAAGUCUGAACCAGCCAUGCCGCGUGAAGGAUGAAGGCCCUAUGGGUCGUAAACUUCUUUUAUUAGGGAAGAAAAAACGGGAUGCGUCCUGUACUGACGGUACUUAAUGAAUAAGGAUCGGCUAACUUCGCGCCAGCCGCCGCAGUAA